GUGGUUGUGGCUCAGUGGUAGAGUAUUUGCCUAGCAUGCAUGAGAUAUUGGGUUCGAUCCCCGGCACCACA
rfam:Ictidomys tridecemlineatus contig014105, whole genome shotgun sequence.